AUCUAAUAUGGCAGAAUAGUGCAUUGGAUUUAAACCCCAAAAAUAAAGUUUUACUUUUUUUAGA
rnacentral:tRNA from 1 species